ensembl:snRNA RNU6-207P RNA, U6 small nuclear 207, pseudogene
GUGCUCACUUUGAUAGCACAUAUAAUAAAAUUGGUACAAUACAGAGAAGAUUAGCAUGGCCCCUGCACAAGGAUGUCACGCAAAUUCAUGAAGUGUUCCAUAUUUUU